AGGGCGCUGUCUCCUCACACUUCUGGCUGAGCUCACCUCCGCUGUCUGAACCUCCUUUUGAGGCUGGAGAGAAAUUGAGAGGCCUGGAGCCAGUGUCUGGGAGGCCUCUGGACACAGCUGGACCCACCGAGGCCACAUGGGGUCAGUAGGAUCUGAGCCUGUGGAAGGAGGUGCAUCCAGUAACCCAAGGAGAAGAUCAUUUGGCUAGGGCCCCGUAUGACCUUCAAACUGGCAUAGGCACUGAACUGCCAAGUCAGGAAAGGGUUUGAUGUGACCUACUAAAGUCCCUCGGGCUGAGGUUUCAGCUGAGUGUCCUUUAUUUAGUCCUUUGGAGGUGUGGACCCGUAUGUCUUUGGUAUGGAUCCACAUUUCAGUGGGGUCAGUAACUCCCUGGAUUGGUUUUGCCAUUUUUUUUUCUCCCCUUGGACUUAUACGCAUGAUUCUUCCCCCUCCCUGGGAAGCAGAGCUGGCCCUGUGACAUAGGUGGCUUUACCUGCUUCAUCAGAGUCACCAGGAAACCUUGUCAAAGAGGAGAUACCCAGGCCUUGCACCAGCCUUUGGGGAGGGCCUGAGAGUGAGCAUCUCCCAGGGAAGAGGAAGGAGGAAGGCUGCUAACACCUGGGAAUAAUCGCUCAAUA
rnacentral:lncRNA from 10 species